UACGUAGGGUGCAAGCGUUAAUCGGAAUUACUGGGCGUAAAGCGUGCGCAGGCGGUCUUGCAAGACAGAUGUGGAAUCCCCGGGCUCAACCUGGGAACUGCAUUUGUGACUGCAAGGCUGGAGUACGGUAGAGGGGGAUGGAAUUCCGCGUGUAGCAGUGAAAUGCGUAGAUAUGCGGAGGAACACCGAUGGCGAAGGCAAUCCCCUGGACCUGUACUGACGCUCAUGCACGAAAGCGUGGGGAGCAAACAGG
rnacentral:rRNA from 1 species